CUCUGCGGCUUUAAGACAUUCUCUCUGUAUGUGUAAGAACUUCUCUCUUCUCUCUGCAGGUGUAAGAACGUCUCUCUUCUCUCUGCAGGUGUAAGAACUUCUCUCUUCUCUCUGCAGCUUUAAGACAUUCUCUCUGCAUGUGUAAGAACGUCUCUUUUCUCUCUGCAGGUGUAAGAACGUCUCUCUGCAGGUGUAAGAACUUCUCUCUGCAGGUGUAAGAACAUCUCUGCAGGUGUAAGAAUGUCUCUUUUCUCUCUGCAGCUUUAAGAUGUUCUCUCUGCAUGUGUAAGAACUUCUCUCUUCUCUCUGCAGGUGUAAGAACUUCUCUCUUCAGGCGUAAGAACGUCUCUCUGCAGCUGUGUAAGAACUUCUCUCUUCAGGUGUAAGAGCUUCUCUCUGCAGGUGUAAGAACGUCUCUCUGCAGGUGUAAGAACUUCUCUCUUCAGGUGUAAGAACGUCUCUCUGCAG